GGUUUAGCUCAGCUGGGAGAGCAUCUGCCUUACAAGCAGAGGGUCAGCGGUUCGAACCCGUUAACCCCCA
rnacentral:tRNA from 1 species